rnacentral:rRNA from 1 species
UACGAAGGGGGCUAGCGUUGCUCGGAAUCACUGGGCGUAAAGGGUGCGUAGGCGGGUCUUUUAAGUCAGAGGUGAAAUCCUGGAGCUCAACUCCAGAACUGCCUUUGAUACUGAAGAUCUUGAGUUCGGGAGAGGUGAGUGGAACUGCGAGUGUAGAGGUGAAAUUCGUAGAUAUUCGCAAGAACACCAGUGGCGAAGGCGGCUCACUGGUCCCGG